rnacentral:misc_RNA from 1 species
UCUCCGUAGGUGAACCUGCGGAGGGAUCAUUACCGAGCUCAUGCCCUUACGGGUAGAUCUCCCACCCUGUGUUAUUAUUACCUUUGUUGCUUUGGCGGGCCGCCAGGCUCCGGUCAGGCUAUCGGCUUCGGCUGGUAAGCGCCCGCCAGAGGACCCUAUACCCUGAUUAUUAGUGUCGUCUGAGUACUAUAUAAUAGUUAAAACUUUCAACAACGGAUCUCUUGGUUCUG